rnacentral:rRNA from 1 species
UACGUAGGGUGCAGGCGUUAAUCGGAAUUACUGGGCGUAAAGCGUGCGCAGGCGGUCUUUUAAGUCAGAUGUGAAAUCCCCGGGCUUAACCUGGGAACUGCGUUUGAAACUGAAAGGCUAGAGUGUGGCAGAGGGGGGUGGAAUUCCACGUGUAGCAGUGAAAUGCGUAGAGAUGUGGAGGAACACCGAUGGCGAAGGCAGCCCCCUGGGCUAACACUGACGCUCAGGCACGAAAGCGUGGGGAGCAAACAGG